UACGGGGGGGGGCAAGCGUUGUUCGGAAUUACUGGGCGUAAAGGGCUCGUAGGCGGCCAACUAAGUCAGACGUGAAAUCCCUCGGCUUAACCGGGGAACUGCGUCUGAUACUGGAUGGCUCGAGUUUGGGAGAGGGAUGCGGAAUUCCAGGUGUAGCGGUGAAAUGCGUAGAUAUCUGGAGGAACACCUGUGGCGAAAGCGGCUCACUGGACCACAACUGACGCUGAGGCUCGGAAAGCUAGGGGAGCAAACAGG
rnacentral:rRNA from 1 species